CUUACAAGAGACAGAAAGACAUCCGAAAAUCCACCGCCGCCGCUCAACCUCUGCUCCACCGCUUCUCCUCCAGCCGACGUCAUCCUCAUCGCCAGUAUACUAUAAGUUUUAGCUUUUGAUCUUCAAGAAGGGGUAUUUGUUGGAUAAAAUUGUAUAUCUGGUCAUCUCUAGAAAUUAUGAACAAAAAAGGCAAGAAACCGGAAUCCAAGUUUCAAUCUGUUCGGAAUCUGCUUCGUGAGCGUUGGGAGCUAGCGUCUAUUCUCAAUUUUUUGCAGAUUACCUUGAAAACAAAGAGGGUAAACAGUCAAGAACUGCCUAAAGCGAACAUCAUAUGGCCUAUUAUCGGACACCUACACCUUCUAGGUGGAUCAAAACUCCCACAUCAUGUUUAUAUACAUUGUGUAGUUGUAUAAGCAUCAACAAGAGCUCCAGUUUUGAAGUGAGAGACAUUAAAAUCAAGGUGAUGGUUCUGUUUUGAGAUUUUAAUUUUACUUGGUUAUAUUAAAUAGCGUAUGUAUCUUGCUAAUUUGAGAUGUCGCCUCCUUCCCCACCGACUAGCAACCUCCGACGGCCAUUGCUGCACUAGGGAGCCUCGCUGGAAAACCGGGUUUCCGGUUUUUGGUUAUUCCGAUCACCGCCGAUAACACCUAUUACCCUAUUCAUAAGUAUUCACCGGUUCCUUUUUUCCUAAGUUUUCCUUCUGGUCGAUCGGUUGUAUGUGGUUUUUUCUUAUUGUGGGCGGAAGGUGCUAUCAGUGGGCGUGUCUAGACUCUAGAGGUUCUUUCUAAGACUCGACGUUGAUGAUAGAAAAGAGGGAGAAUCCAUUGAAGAAGCCUACAAGGGCAAAUAUGCUUGUCAGCAUUCGUUGACCCUAGCAGGGCUUAGAGUUGAGGUUCGUUGACUACAAUGAUGAUGUCAGUUGAUUUAGGCAACAUGCAACAAUAUAUUUGAACUUUGGCAGCAGCGCCUGGUCUGGUGGGCGCCGACCAUCAGGUUUGUUGGCAUGGUAGUGAUGAUCAUCGGCAAAUUUAAGGUAUUUCAUGGUUGUGCUGCUAAUCGGUCGCUAAAAUAAAAGAGUUUUCUAAACUUGCCGCAACAAUCGGUGAUCGUGGGUGUUAACGAAACAUGAAGGGUGUAUUGGGUUAAACUAUCGGUGAUCGUGGUGGAAUUCGCAGCGCAUCGCGCGCGGCACUAUAUCUAGUUUAAUAUAUUUUUAAAACAAAUACAUCUCUUUCCUACUUAUCUUAUAUUAAAUAUAUAAAUAGUAAAUUAAUAUUAAAUGUUAUCCUAAUUUAUUAAAAAUAUAACUUCUUUAUUAUUAGGUAUGUAAAAUUAUAUUUAUUCAACUCGUGUAAAAUGCGAGGUUUUUAAAAAUUUAACUUUUAUUAUUUACUAUACAAAGUUACAUUUAUAUAACCCGUGUAAUACACGAAGUUUUUAAAGAUAUAACUUUUUUUAUCAUUUGCUUUGCUAUGUAAAAUUAGAUUUAUUCAACACGUGUAAUACACGGGAUUUUUAAGGAUAUAAUUUUUUUUUAUUAUUUGGUAAUUUUUUCAACCCGACUAUACACGGGUUUUCUAAAGAUACGACGUUUUUAGUAGUUAAUAUACAAAAUUACAUUUAUUUAAUCUGUGUAAUACACAUGGUUUUUAAAGAUAUAACUAUUUUUUAGAUCUAUUCAACACGUGUAAUAUACGGGGUUUUUAAGGAUGUAACUUUUUUUAUUAUUUGAUAGAUUUAUUCAACCCGAUUAUACACCGGUUUUUUAAAGAUACGACAUUUUUAGUAUUUAGUAUACAAAAUUACAUUUAUUUAAUCUGUGUAAUACACAUGGUUUUUAAAGAUAUAACUUUUUUUAUUAUUUGAUAUAUAAAAUUACAUUUAUUUAACCCGUACAAUAUGCGAGUUUCAUAAAGAUAUAACUUUUUAUUAUUUAAUAUAUAAAAUUACGUUUAUUUAACCCGUGUAAUACACGGGGUUCUAACCUAGUGUAAUUUUAUAUACCAAAUCAUAAAACAAUAUAUCUUUAAAAAUCUCGUUUAUUACAUACAUUGAAUAAAUAUAAUUUUAUAUAUUAAAUAAUAAAAGAAUUAUAUCUUUAAGAACCUCGCGUAUUGUACGGGUUGAGUAAAUUUAAUUUUAUAUAUUAAAUAACGAAAAAAAAGUUACAUUUUUAAGAACCUCAUGUAUUGUAUAGGUUGAACACGUGUAAUUUUAUAUACCAGUCAAUAAAAAGUUAUAUCUUGUUAUAUCUUUAUAAAACCUGUGUAUUAUACGGAAUGAAUAAAUCUAAUUUUAUAUACCACACAAUAAAAAAAAGUUAUAUUUUAAAAAAGCCGGUGUAUUACACGAGUUGCAUAAAUGUAAUUUUGUAUAGUAAAUAAUAAAGAUAUUAUAUCUUUAAAAAACCUCGUUUAUUACACGGGUUGAAUGAAUCUAAAAAAUUAUAUCUUUAAAAAAAAUUAACGGAUAUACUCGAUAUAUGAUGGAUGGGAAGAUUGCGGUGAUGAUUCUUAUAAAUGUCACGUAAACAUACUGAAUACCGUAUUUGAGUUGAGAGUUGAACACGAAAAUAAAAGUAUACAACCAAUGAACAUUGAUUAAUGUUUUUGUUUACCCCUUAUAAACAUUUAUGAAAUAUGUUCUACCCUAAACUACUUUAGUUUAAUAAAAUAAAUAAAUUAUUUACAUUAUGUUAAUUUAUAUUUAGUAUACGUCUUUUGUUAAUUUCAGGAUAAAUAAUUUUGAAAUCUAAUAAAUAUUUCAAAAUAUUAUAUUAUCUCCUAUACGAAUUGUUUAAAUUUAUAUUAAAUUUAAUUUUAUAUUUAUCUUUUAAUUAAUACUAAUUAUCUAUAAUUAAGUAGGAUAGAGAGGAAAAACCUAAAAAAUAGAUGGCUUCAAUGAAUGACAUGUGUGCUUUUAUUGGUUUCUUUUAUUAUAUAGUAUAGAAGAUUAGGUUAGAACCCCGUGUAAUACACGGGUUGAAUAAUUAUAAUUUUAUAUACCAAAUAAUAAAACAAUAUAUCUUUAAAAAUCUCGUUUAUUACAUGGGUUGAAUAAAUGUAAUUUUAUAUAUUAAAUAAUAAAAAUUAUAUCUUUAAAAAAACUAACGGAUAUACUCGAUAUAUGAUGGAUGAGGUGAUUGCGGUGAUUGUUCUUAUAAAUGUCACGUAAACAUAGUGAAUACCGUAUUUGAGUUGAGAGUUGCACAUGAAAAUAAAAGUAUAGAACCAAUAAACAUUUAUUAAUAUUUUUGUUUAUUCCUUAUAAACAUUUUUGAAAUAGGUUCUACCCUACUUUAGUUUAUAAAAUAAAUAAUCAUUUACAUUAUAUUAGUUUAUAUUUAGUGUAGGUCUUUUGUUAGUUUCAGAAUAAAUAAUUUUGAAAUGUAAUAAAUAUUUCAAAAUAUUAUAUUAUCUCCUAUACGAAUUGUUUAAAUUUAUAUUAAAUUUAGUUUUAUAAUUAUCUUUUAAUUAAUAUUAAUUAUUUAUAAUUUAGUAGGAUAAAGAGGAAAAAACUAAAAAAUAGAUUACUCCAAUGAAUGACAGGUAUCCCCUCGUUGGUUUCUUUAUAAAUACAAAUUAUUAUUUUAAUUUGUGCCUUAACUGUUUUAACUAAACUAAUAAGAGAGUAAUUUCAAAACUAUAAGCAUAAAUUUCUGAACAAUAGAUGAUUAUAUCGCAAAAGUACUAACCUAAUAUAGCUCUUGAUCGCAGAUUAGGGUUUAGGAAUUGAAAAUUGAGUUUAAAACAAAUAAUAAUUUAAGUAGAAACUGAUCGUGAUCAUAUAUUGAUCGUGAAAUUUGUUCAAAAUUCAAGAAAAAAAGGAAAAGAUGAUGUUAAUUUGAAUGAUGAAAUGGGUUUACCGAUGACGAAGAGGAUGAUUACGGAAAGCAACGGUUGUUUAGGUGUUUGAAGUAUCGGCAAAUUAUUCAUGAAAGAUGUGGAGUGCAUCCAUGGGAACUGAAUUUUAUAUAUCACGGAUAUAUUUUGUUCUUGAUCGGUUAUAAAUACUAAAUACUCAUUGGUGGAGGAGGUGGAGAAAUUACGGUUUUGGAUAAUAAGUCUUGUUUUGAAUGAGAUGUGGGUCAUGGAUCUAUACCGUAUGACCCGGUUUCAUAACCCAGUGCCCAUUUAAUUAAAGGAGCUCUCAUUGAGUGACACGUGUCCCAAAGUUGGUUUCUUUUAUUAUAGUAGAUAGAUGAAUAAAUUUGGGCUGAUGUGGUACGAUAUUAGAGGGAAUGCUUUUUGGCGGGAAAAUGAGAUGGAUGUUUACAUUGCUCGCGGAUCCCUUCUUUGAGCAACCCGACCCAAUGAUUCGGACCCUAUAUAUUUAUGUAUUUGAGGACUCUGUUCUUUCUUUCAUCAUUAGCCUCACUGUCUCCGUUCCAAACCCUAAUCUUUAUCCAUUCCAAACCCUUUUCAAUCGUUCAUUCACCUAUUAAUCUCAAACCCUCAACUAUAUCUUUUCACAAUUGCAAAACAUUGCCUCUGCAAUCGUUAACUGCAAUCACAUUGGCGAAUGAUCUGUGGUUAAGAAUUGAAGACAAACGAUCCGAUUGAAGUCUACAUGUUGCGGCUUAUGCUUCUCUCCAAGAGAUCAAUUAGGUUUUUUACAAAGCGGUCAAGUAUAUGAUGGUGCUCAUGCUACCAGGCCUGAACACUUUCUGAAGCACAGUUACAACAGAUGUAGCCAUGUAGGCAUUCCUGGUUUUGUUCUAAACAGAUGCUAAUGGGAGGAGGUGGAUAUUUUUCAGCUGAUGGUUUUGGAAAAUGAAUAUACUCACGCCGUUGUAUGUUUUUUUACACACGUAGCUUCUUCGUACUACAAUUAUCAACAGUAGCUAAUCGCAUGUUUGUAAAAUGUUUUAACAUGCCUUGCUUGAACAUUCAGUGCCUUUGUUUUGCUUUCACGUUAAUAAAACAAGAUUUAAUUAUUUUUUGUGAGCGGAUCAUAAGAUUCUUGAACGAGUACCCCGAAGUUCAACCGUUUUCAUCAUUCGGCUUAAUCUAUAACUGGACUGCCUUAUUUAGAAUCCUUGAUACCAUAAGGUGGAUAGGAUUGCGGUGAUACUUUGCUCUCUACAGGCUCUUUGAAGGCUUUGUUUUCGAUGUAGUUGCGGGCAUUGAACAUGAGUGUUUUGAUUAGAAAACAUGAUAAUGAUUUUGUUAAAAUGUAGUAUUUUAUCAUUCCAUCCAGAGUUCUAGGAAUGUCUAACUUGUAUGUCAAGCCUACUUUGCAUGUUAAGCCUUCUUUGAUGUGGCAGGCAGGUAUCAUCAAGGCCUUAAGAAAUGGGUUUAAGUAGGAAAUUUUGCAGUUGUUGAGAAGUGCUACAAUCAUGAAGCCAAAAUUGAUUGUUAUUGGUACAAUUGCUUAUGCUUGAUUAUAUGUCUAUGCCAGAAUUUUUCAAUCAUCUCUACAAACUUUUGCAUAUGGAAAUGUAAUGCUUGUAGCUGCUUGUGAUCAUGAGAAGGUAUCUUUCAGUCCUGAUCUGAUUUGGUUAGGCUAUGUAAUGAUUUUGUGAUUUUGAUCUUAACUUUAAAAUUACCUAUAGUAUCUAUUAGAGAUUAGGCCUAUUGAUAUUUCUCUUUUAAGGCAUGUUAACCAGGCUAUGAUGAGCUUAUCAAUGCUUCAAAGGGUUCUAUAAACAGUCGUGCUCCUAAAGGACCUAAAGAGAUAUUUAACUACCAUCAUUCAUCAUUGAGAAAUGUCAUUGAACAAACUUUUGGAGUAUGGAAGGCUAGAUGGGAGAUAUUACAACAUAUGCAUGUCAAUUACACCUACGAGACACAAGUGAAGAUCAUGCUAGCAUCUAUGGCAAUUCAUAAUUAUAUUAGAAAAAAGAUACAUGUGAUGAAGGAUUUACCAGGGCGCAACAAGAAUCUUACACUCCAAAUAAUGGUCGAGGAUCAAAUGACAUUAAUGAAGUAAAUGAAGACACAAGUACACAACGUAGAAUAGAUGAUUUAUACAUGAGUGCAGUUAGAGAUAUGAUUGCAGGAGAUUUAACCAAACCAAGAUGAAUGUUUAUUGAAUAUUAAUGUAUUUUUGUUGAAGUUUUACUUUAUCCUCGAUAUAAAUUUAUCCAAAAAUGAUGGUAUAACUCAUAAAAACAAAGUAGAUACAUAUAAAAUAUAAGUUAUGUGAUAAUAUGUAACCAUGUCCUUUUUGGUCAUUUUACUAAUAUAAGCUAAAUAAAAAAGCUAACACAAGCACUUAAAAAGAGCUUAUCAACUUGUAGAAUAUAAGCUAAUCUAAACACUUAAAAAUUGCUUAUCAAAUGAAAGAAAAUAAGCAUAAGCAACUUUAAAAUAUAAGCAUAAGCCAAAACAAUAAAAUCUAAGCCAAACACCCCCUUAAUUCAUCUCUAUCAAAAAUCCAGCAGACCAGGUUCUUGAGGCCAUUGCUCCUCUUGUCCUUAACCCAUCUUGAUAUGCUGGUUUCUCCAUUCUACCCUCCCUCAGCCAAUUUUCCGUCUUUCUCCAUUGCUCCUCUUGAAUCCUGAUGUUGAAUCCCCCAUACAAGGAAGAGAUUCCGAUCAAUACUGAUUAUAUUUUCCCUCCUCAACAACUGAACAUCGACUCCUCUGCAGGGGCAGACCUAUAUGGUGCAGGUCGGGGUCCACGGACCCCAAUGUUUUAAAAAAAAUAGUAGAACCGUUAUGUUAAAUUUUUAAAGGACCCCAUAAAAUAAAUUAGUUGGACCCCAUAGUAUUAAAAGAAAAGAUGGUAUGGUGGUAAAUCUCCUUGUGUUCCAACAAAUGGGUCUCAAGUUCAAGUCUUACACCUCUUGUUUUUUAGUUUAUUUUUUCCAUCAAAAUUAAACUAGUGUUUUAAAACAUCACAACCACCCAUGGACCCUCUAAUUUGCUUCUUUAAAGUGAUAAAUUUAAUGUCUCCGAAUGAUUUUAUUUCACAUUUGAUUACCAAAUAAGACUUCCAACAUAUAGUGACGUUAAAAAAAAGCUUAAACAAAAUUUGAAGUUACGUGAAGUAGUUGUGUUGUUUAGGUAGCUAUUGGUUUCAAACAACUUAUUAAUCACCACAAUUUGAUAACUGGAUUCUUAAAAAUGGUUCUUAAUAAUGUAGUGGUUUCAUGUCCACUAAAUGCUUCUAUAUUAUUUCCUGCCCCGACACGACCCGAUUACAAUGGCCGACCCGGAAAUUUUAAUGUUUGGUUGUGAAAAAUUCUAACACAAAAAAUGGACCUCAAUAGAAAAAAAUCCUGGGUCCGCCACUGCUCCUCUGGAACCCUAUUUGCCAUUCGCUCACUGGGAUUUUCGUCAUCAAAUACACAAUUAGGUAAGCAAUUGAUUCAUAAUCUAACUAAGGUAAAUUUCAUUUUCGUUUAUUGUUUAUAUAAAUAUGGCUUUGUAAUUUUUUACUAUACCUGGAUUAUGAUAUUUAAUUUCCCCUGAAUCUUUUGACUUUUGUGGAAAUUCAAUUGACUGACGAAGUCAAUCUGGUGUUUUUUUUUUUUUAUUUUCCUUAUAGCGUUCAGAUAGUGAGAGAAAGUAAAGGAAAAUAAAUUUUUCGAUGGCAGUGAAGGAAUUAAGGAAAUGAAGGUUCAUGAAGAAAAUGAACAUUCAUAAAAUAAUUAUUUUAUUGAUGAUUUUAAUAAGCUUAAACAUGGACUACUUAUACACAGACUGACUUCCCACGAGUACAGGUAGUGCUAACAAAUGCUUACAUAACCUCAGAUAGUAUACAAGAUAUUUUGUUUUCGCCGGAAAACUUACACCAGAGAGAGGGAGGAGUGAGGGUGGAAGAGUUGAGGGAGGGGGUGAGGAGUGGUGGUUACGGUGUUUGAGGGAGUGGAUAGAGAUGAAUUGAGGGGUUGGUGAGGGAUAUGGGAAAUAGAAAGGGUUGAAAGGGAAAAGGACCAUUGUAUCCUCAUGUGCAUUGCACAUGACAAGAAUUAACUGAGAUUUCUAACCAGGUUUGGACUAAAGGACAAAACGUGCAAGAUUUUGGAAGGUUAAGGACACCGCCUGUAAACUUUUGGCCAAAA